UUUUUGUUGUCUAAUUCUACUUUUAAAAUAUUAUAAAUCUUAUUUUGAUUUUAAAAAGAACUUUUAUGUGUAAAAUUUUAAUUUAUAAAGAUAAGUUUGAAAUAUUUAAAAUAUAUUAAAGGUUUAAAGAUUAAAACUAUGAGUGAGAAAAUACUUAAGAAUUAUAAAUGUGAUGUAUAAUUAAUUAUAAGAACCAAUAUGCAAAUAAAAAGAUGAAACUUUAAAAUUAGAGUUUCUUUUAGAGAUGCUUUUACGGGUGGUUAGUAGAAGUUGUGGCUUUCUGUUUUUUUUUUGCUCUAAGAUUUAACUCUAGAUUUUUAACUUUACUUCUAGUUUAUUUUGUUGUAGAAAUUUUUCGAAGCACUAUAUAAAAUCUUUAGAGAAAGUGAUUUCUAACGCUAACAUAUUUCUUUUUAUAAUGUUUUGGCUUUAAAUUCAAUUUCUAAAAUAAAUGCAUGAUUACUUUAAAAAAUAGAUGUAGAAAUUAAAAAGGUUGUGCACAGUUCCUACAACCUCAACCAAUUUAUUUUAUCUACUGCUUCUAUCAGUAGCAUUUAAUGUAAGCCUUUAGUUUCAAAAAAAAAAGUAGCAUUUAAUGUACGGAUCUUGAAUAUGCAUGACAGACAAUACAACGACAUUUAUUAGAUAUCUUAAUCUUGGUGAUUUUUAAUAUAUUUUAUAAAUGUGAGUAAAGUCGAUUACUUCUUAUUUUAUUUUUUUUAAUUACUGUCCACUUGCUGACACACGUAAUAAAAAAAAUUCUACACCACAGAAUCAUCAUGCUGUAAACAUCCUUGACUCUAUAUUUUAUAAAUGUACUCUCGAAUAAGGAAGAUUACACAUUCAUGUAUAUUGUCAAAUGACUAAUAAAGCUUUCGGUUCCUUUGCUAUGAUUUUAUUCGAUCUCUUCGAACAUGUAGAUAUUCUAUUUCGUCUCCUGUACCAAGAUUUUUUCUCCAUUUGUAUAUAUGUUUUGUUCAUUUUAUUUUGAUUCAAAGGUUAAGAGUUCUAGAUUUUGACUGAUAAAAUUGAAUGCUAAAUGGAAUGAGAAGAAAAGUCAAGAGAAAAAAUAUAAACAAAAUUUUAGUGUACAUUUUCCUCUGUUAUUUUCAUUGAAUCUUAGAGCAUCUCCAACCCAACUUCAAAUCCUCAAAUUUUAAAGUUUUUGUCAUUUUAACUCAUUCUCAAAUUUUGAGAUUUUAAAUAGUGACACCUCAAAUUUGAGGUUUUACUAUUUAAAACCUCAAAACCACUAUUCAUUUUCUUUUUAGUCCUUACAAUUAUUUUCUUUAACAAAUAUAUCUAAUAAAUUUAUUUAGCAUAAUUUAAGUACACCAAAAUAAAAUAAAAUAAAAUAAAUAUUAUAUAGCAUGAAAAUAAAAUUCACACAAUAGAAAGAUACAUUAAAUAAAACUUGCACAAAAUAAAAAUACAUUAAAUAAAUUUAAUACAAAUUAAAAAGUUAUAUAAACACUUAAAUAUUACAUAUUUUACGGAAAUAACUUUCUAAAAUUUGUGUGUAUGUGUUGUUUUAUUAUAUACGUAAUUUAUAUUAUAUAAUAUUGUAAUAUUGUGUGUUUAUAAAAUAUUAAAAGUAUCUUUUAUAUGUAUUUGUUAAGUUUUAUCAUUAUUAGUAAUUUUUGUUAAUGUAAAAGACUAUAAUGUAAAUAAAUAAAUUUUUAAGAAUUUUUUUGAAAAUUUAUGGUUGGAAUAAUCAACCUUCAAUUCUUUAUUUUGAUGUUUUGCUCUCCUUAAAAUAAGGUUUGGGUUAGAGAUGCUCAAGUAGAAGAAGUUUGGUUUCCACUUUUCAGCAAACCAAAAAAUAAUAACAAAUUAAUUCGUUCCAUCUUUUUUAUUGGUUGAAAGAGAGUAUAACACAGUAAAAUUCAACGCUGCUGAAAACCUAUUCUCCUUUUUGAACCUGCCACUAGAAACCAAAAUAGUGCAAGUGUACUAAUUAUAACUUGACUACAGAAACCUAAAACAAAAAACUUAGUAGUAUAUUUAACUAAUAAAUUCUAUUCCAGACAAACCUAACUAAACAAAAGAAAAAACAACCUUCGGCCGCAUAGUGCGUAUUAGAAAAGAAUAACUAGAGUUUUAUACCACGAAAAAGGUAAAAAGGCGGGUAAUACUACUAUAGUAAAAAGUAUUACUAUAACAUACGUGCUCAAUGAUUACUAGCUAUCUAGUCCCCAAAACUAUUCUUUUGUGAGUGGAGGAAAUAUUUGAUAUUAUUUUCGUUAUCAUUGUGAAGAAGAAGACCAUCUUAGCAUAUCAUAUCAUUGUGGAAGUGUCAAGUGCGAUACACAUACACAUGGUAAAUAACAAAAAAUGAAAAGUAAUGUUCGGUUUUCAACAAGGAUUUAUAAGUUAAACCUUACCACUUCAAUGCAUAUAUGUUGUUUUAUCGUGGCUCACAAUGUAACUUAAAGAUGGCGAUGUACAACCUAGACCGCGGGUCUAGCCCGCUAAAACUUGUAGCGGGAUAGUAUUGGGCCAGACAUAUCAUGUUCCGUAAUAUUGCGGGUUUUGCAGGUCGGUAUUGUGCGGGAAUGGGCUUAAACCGGAAUGACCCAAAUAGAAUAUGUGGUUAACCUAAUGUCCCGCAAGUUAUAGACUUCUCAUUUCAUUCUUCACUUGAAAAAACAAAGUUGAUAGAGAGAAAAGUGAAAGACGACUCAAUUUCAACUUUCACUGUCACAAGAUAUGGAGCUCCGACAACAGCGGUUCUUCCAACUCGGCUUCCAAACAUCACAGAUUAGACAUGCAUGUUGUUAGCUAACUAAGGAAAGAAAUCCAUGUUAAAAGACCAACAAAACAAGAUCCAAAAUCUAAAGAUACUUACUUAGUUUAUUGAUUGUGUAAGACCGUUAGAUCCAUGUAAUAGAACCGACAAGACCAAAUAGAUCUAUGUGUUAUGUAUGUUUUCUCGGUUUGGUUUCUCUUAGUAUGAUGAUUAUAGCAUGUUCUAUUUGUUACUAAUAAUUCAUUGUGUAUAAUUGCAUUUUCUGUUUGCUCAUGAUAAAUCAUUGUGUCAUAUUGUUGUAAUGUUUGCUCAUGAUAAAUAUAGUCUAGUCUUGUUUCAUGGUU